rnacentral:rRNA from 1 species
UUGAUCCUGGCUCAGAAUCAACGCUGGCGGCGUGCCUAACACAUGCAAGUCGAACGCGAAAGCCCCGCAAGGGGUUAGUAGAGUGGCAAACGGGUGAGUUACACGUGGGUGACCUGCCUUCGAGUGGGGGAUAACGUCCCGAAAGGGACUCUAAUACCGCAUGACAUCCUGCUUUUGGAAAAGCGGAGAUCAAAGCUGGUGAUCGUAAGACCUGGCGCUUGAAGAGGGGCCCGCGCCUGAUUAGCUAGUUGGUGGGGUAACGGCCUACCAAGGCGACGAUCAGUAUCCGGCCUGAGAGGUCGGACGGACACACUGGGACUGAGACACGGCCCAGACUCCUACGGGAGGCUGCAGUGGGGAAUUGUUCGCAAUGGGCGCAAGCCUGACGACGCAACGCCGUGUGGAGGACGAAGAUCUUCGGGUCGUAAACUCCUGUCGAGUGGGAAGAAUGCUUCGGGGGUAAAUACCCUUCGGAAUUGACGGUACCACUAAAGGAAGCUCCGGCUAACUCCGUGCCAGCAGCCGCGGUAAUAAGGU